UACGGGGGGGGCAAGCGUUGUUCGGAAUUACUGGGCGUAAAGGGCUCGUAGGCGGCCAACUAAGUCAGACGUGAAAUCCCUCGGCUUAACCGGGGAACUGCGUCUGAUACUGGAUGGCUUGAGUUUGGGAGAGGGAUGCGGAAUUCCAGGUGUAGCGGUGAAAUGCGUAGAUAUCUGGAGGAACACCGGCGGCGAAGGCGGCAUCCUGGACCGGUAUUGACGCUGAGGCGCGAAAGCUAGGGGAGCAAACGGG
rnacentral:rRNA from 1 species